rnacentral:rRNA from 1 species
UCAAGAAACUUCCACAAUGGGCGAAAGCCUGAUGGAGCGACGUCGCGUGAUGGACGAAGUGCUUCGGCACGUAAACAUCUUUUAUGUGGGAUGAAAUUAUUGACAGUACCACAUGAAUAAGGGGCUCCUAACUCUGUGCCAGCAGGAGCGGUAAUACAGAGGCCCCAAGCGUUAUCCGGAAUCACUGGGCGUAAAGGGUGUCGAGGCGGUUGUAUUAGUCGUUACGUAAAAUCUACGAGCUUAACUUGUAGGCGGCGAACGAAACGGUACGACUUGAGGUUUGGAGAGGUGCGUGGAACUCACGGUGUAGGGGUGAAAUCCGUUGAUAUCGUGGGGAACACCAAAGGCGAAGGCAGCGCACUGGCCAAAAUCUGACGCUCACACACGAAAGCUAGGGUAGCGAAGAGGAUUAGAUACCCUCGUAGUCCCUGAGCGGGCUGGCAAGGCGCAU